AUUGAACGCUGGCGGCAGGCCUAACACAUGCAAGUCGAACGAGUGGCGGACGGGUGAGUAAUGUCUGGGAAACUGCCUGAUGGCGGGGGAUAACUACUGGAAAGGGUAGCUAAUACCGCAUACCAUCAGAUGUGCCCAGAUGGGAUUAGCUGGGUGGUGGGGUAACGGCGCACCAAGGCGUCGAUCCCUAGCUGGUCUGAGAGGAUGACCAGCCCUACUGGAACUGAGACAUGGCCCAGACUCCUACGGGAGGCAGCGUUGGGGAAUAUUGCACAAUGGGCGAAAGCCUGAUGCAGCCAUGCCGCGUGUAUGAAGAAGGCCUUCGGGUUGUAAAGUACUUUCAGCGGGGAGGCGUUACCCGCAGAAGAAGCACCGGCUAACUCCGUGCCAGCCGCCGCGGUAAUUC
rnacentral:rRNA from 1 species